CCUACGGGUGACAGCAGUGAGGAAUAUUGGUCAAUGGACGAGAGUCUGAACCAGCCAAGUAGCGUGAAGGAUGACUGCCCUAUGGGUUGUAAACUUCUUUUAUAUGGGAAUAAAAUGUUUCACGUGUGGGAUUUUGUAUGUACCAUAUGAAUAAGGAUCGGCUAACUCCGUGCCAGCAGCCGCGGUAAUACGGAGGGUCCGAGCGUUAUCCGGAUUUAUUGGGUUUAAAGGGAGCGUAGGUGGCUUGUUAAGUCAGUUGUGAAAGUUUGCGGCUCAACCGUAAAAUUGCAGUUGAAACUGGCAGUCUUGAGUACAGUAGAGGUGGGCGGAAUUCGUGGUGUAGCGGUGAGAUGCUUAGAUAUCACGAAGAACUCCGAUUGCGAAGGCAGUUCACUGGACUGCAACUGACACUGAGGCUCGAAAGUGUGGGUAUCAAACAGGAUUAGAUACCCGGGUAGUC
rnacentral:rRNA from 1 species